rnacentral:rRNA from 1 species
UACGUAGGGUGCAAGCGUUGUCCGGAAUUAUUGGGCGUAAAGAGCUCGUAGGCGGUCUGUUGCGUCCGCUGUGAAAACCCGGGGCUCAACCCCGGGCCUGCAGCCGAUACGGGCAGACUAGAGUUCGGCAGGGGAGACUGGAAUUCCUGGUGUAGCGGUGAAAUGCGCAGAUAUCAGGAGGAACACCGGUGGCGAAGGCGGGUCUCUGGGCCGAUACUGACGCUGAGGAGCGAAAGCGUGGGGAGCGAACAGG